UACGGAGGGGGCUAGCGUUGUUCGGAAUUACUGGGCGUAAAGCGCACGUAGGCGGCUUUGUAAGUUAGAGGUGAAAGCCCAGGGCUCAACCCUGGAAUUGCCUUUAAGACUGCAUCGCUUGAACAUCGGAGAGGUAAGUGGAAUUCCGAGUGUAGAGGUGAAAUUCGUAGAUAUUCGGAGGAACACCAGUGGCGAAGGCGGCUCACUGGCUCGAUACUGACGCUGAGGUGCGAAAGCGUGGGGAGCAAACAGG
rnacentral:rRNA from 1 species